rnacentral:rRNA from 1 species
GAUGAACGCUGGCGGCGUGCCUAAUACAUGCAAGUCGAGCGAACAGACGAGGAGCUUGCUCCUCUGACGUUAGCGGCGGACGGGUGAGUAACACGUGGAUAACCUACCUAUAAGACUGGGAUAACUUCGGGAAACCGGAGCUAAUACCGGAUAAUAUAUUGAACCGCAUGGUUCAAUAGUGAAAGACGGUUUUGCUGUCACUUAUAGAUGGAUCCGCGCCGCAUUAGCUAGUUGGUAAGGUAACGGCUUACCAAGGCAACGAUGCGUAGCCGACCUGAGAGGGGGAUCGGCCACACUGGAACUGAGACACGGCCCAGACCCCUACGGGAGGCAGCAGGAGGAAAUCUGCAGAAAUGGGCGAAAGCUUGACGGAGCAACGCGGCGUGAGUGAUGAAGGUCUUCGGAUCGUAAAACUCUGUUAUUAGGGAAGAACAAAUGUGUAAGUAACUAUGCACGUCUGGACGGUACCUAAGCAGAAGGCCACGGCUAACUACGU